ACACACACACACACACACACACACACACACACACACACACGGGAGAUCAGAAAAUGUAAAAUGAGGGCAACAGGCCAUCUCUCUCUACCUACGCCAUGGCCUCACAUCUAAGGUCAGGUUACUGCUAGCUGGUCCCUUCAUCUAAGGUCAGGUUACUGCUGGCUGGUCCCUUCAUCUAAGGUCAGGUUACUCCUAGCUGGUCCCUUCAUCUUAGGUCAGGUUACUGCUGGCUGGUCCCUUCAUCUAAGGUCAGGUUACUGCUGGCUGGUCCCUUCAUCUAAGGUCAGGUUACUCCUGGCUGGUCCCUUCAUCUAAGGUCAGGUUACUCCUAGCUGGUCCCUUCAUCUAAGGUCAGGUUACUCCUGGCUGGUCCCUUCAUCUAAGGUCAGGUUACUCCUGGCUGGUCCCUUCAUCUAAGGUCAGGUUACUCCUGGCUGGUCCCUUCAUCUAAGGUCAGGUUACUGCUGGCUGGUCCCUUCAUCUAAGGUCAGGUUACUGCUGGCUGGUCCCUUCAUCUAAGGUCAGGUUACUCCUGGCUGGUCCCUUCAUCUAAGGUCAGGUUACUCCUGGCUGGUCCCUUCAUCUAAGGUCAGGUUACUGCUGGCUGGUCCCUUCAUCUAAGGUCAGGUUACUCCUAGCUGGUCCCUUCAUCUAAGGUCAGGUUACUGCUGGCUGGUCCCUUCAUCUAAGGUCAGGUUACUCCUGGCUGGUCUCCUCUCACUACUACC